GAGACGGAGUCUCGCUCUGUCGCCCAGGCUGGAUGCAGUGGCUCAUACACGUAAUCCCAGCACUUCGGGAGGCUGAGAUAGGAGGAUCACUUGAACCCAGUAGUUGGAGGAUUGCUUGAGCUCAGGAGUUUGAGACCAGCCUGGGCAAUAUAGCAAGAUCCCUGUCUCUACAAAAAAAAAAAUAAUUAAAAAUUAGCCAGGCACGAUGGUGCAUGCCUGUUGCCCCAGCUUACUCAAAAGGCUGAGGCAAGAGGAUUGCUUGAGCCCAGGAGGUCGAAGCUGCAGUGAGCCAUGAUCUCGCCACUGCACUCCAGCCUGGGUGACAGAGCAAGACCCUGUCUCAAAAAUAAAAUGAAAUAAAAUAAAAUAGUGAAUUCAAGACAUCAAAUGGCCAAGCAGAGAUGGAGAGGAAAGUUGUCUUGGGUCUGACACUUUCCCUAUUUCUGCCUUAUUCCAUCAUAAGUCCUCAUUGUUCUUCUUGCCCUGGAUGUCUGUGUAUCUUUCUAGUAAAUCAUAUCACUUUAUUUGUUGCAUAAACGAAUCAGAGUCAAUUUCUGUCACUUGCAACCACAGUAAUCCUGAUAUACUUUAGUUUUGAGGCAUCAACCGAAGUGCCCAGAUUUUGAUGACUUGAAAAUCCUGAAGGACUUAAAAGGUGGUGCUGGUCAGCAUCUUUGGUAACCCCACACCCUGAGACCCCUUGCUCCUACCCCCACCCCAGGUCCCCAGCUGGGAAUGACUUACUUCUCUGGUUUGCUUAGAGAUAACCAUGUAGGCCCAGAAGUCGGUCAGAGAGUAAUUCUCAGACCUCGCUGCUUGGAUGGUUUUCUGUAGGCUCUUAGCCAAGUCCCACUCCUGUCGGGUAAAUCGAUGUUUCAGGUCAGCCUCGAGAGCUUCCAUGUCACCAUCAUUGGUGUAGAGAGAAGAUAUUGCCCUGGAGGACAGAGGAAGAGAGUGAGUUGGGCAUUUUAAGUGUGGACGAUGAAGACUGGGGAAAGAUGUGUGCAAGGAGGUCCUUCACAGGAACACCUGCCUCAUGGAGAGGGCGACACACAGAGGAAACGGAAAAUUUCCAUUAAAUAAAUACAACUGCAGAACGAUCAAGUUCGAAGGAGGACUCAAAAUCAUCUGGGACAAUCCUUCCAUUUCACAGGCAGGAAAAUGAGAGCACGAUGGGAGAAAGGCCUCAUCAGAGUCAAAUGUUUUUUGCAGCCAGCACUUAUUAAAAGGUUUAUAUGUGACAGCAACAAACUGUCUUUAGUCUUUUAUACCUAUUAACUCACAUAAUCCUAGAAAAUCAAUGAACGGGGCCAGGUGUGGUGGUUCAUGCAUGUAAUCCCAGCACUUUGGGAGGACGAGGCGGGAGGAUUGCCUGAGGUCAGGAGUUCGAGACCAGCCUGGCCAACAUGGUGAAACCCCGUCUCCACUAAAAAUACAGAAAAAUUAGCCAGGCGUGGUGGCAUGCGUGGUGGUGGGUACCUCUAGUGCCGGAUACUCAGGAAACCCUGUCUCUACUAAAAACACAAAAAUUAGCCAGGCAUGGUGGCACACGCCUGUGGUCCCAGCUGCUCAGGAGGCUGAAGCAGAGGAAUCGCUUGAACCCGGGAGGUGGAGGUUGCAGUGAGCUGAGAUUGUGCCACUGCACUCCAGCCUGGGCGACAGAGCGUGACUCCAUCUAAAAAAAAAAAAAAAAAAAAAAAAAGCUGGGCGUGGUGGCUUACGCCUGUGAUCCUAGCACUUUGGGAGGCCAAGGUGUGCGGAUCACGAGGUCAGGAGAUCGAGACCAUCCUGGCUAACAUGGUGAAACCCCGUCUCUACUAAAAAUACAAAAAAUUAGCUGGGUGUGGUUGCAGACCCAGCUACUAUAGUCCUAGCUACUCGAGAGGCUGAGGCAGGAGAAUGGCGUGAACCCGGGAGGCUGAGCUUGCAGUGAGCCGAGAUCGCGCCACUGCACUCCAGCCUGGGCAACAGAGCAAGACUCUAUCUCAAAAAGAAAAAAAAAAAGAAAAAAAAGACUUUAUAUUCAUUUGUUCACUCAAUAAA
rnacentral:lncRNA from 10 species